AUGGGCGAAGCCUACUUCAAGGGGGUAUUUUGUGCGAAAAUGACGAGCACACAGCGGAGUGAGAGCGCAAACCACAUGCUCAAAAAUUAUGUGCCUCCUGGAUGCCCAAUGCACAUGUUUGUCCAGAAAUACAUGAGACUUCAGUUCGAUCGCGAAUCAGAGGAGAAUUAUGAGGAGAAACGCACUCAUAUCGGGAAGCCGUCGAUGAGGGCAAAUCUUGUAGUGGAGAGGCAUGCAAGCAAAACAUACACACGAGCAAUGUUUGAACAAUUUGGGGAGAUUUUGUAUGAGUGUGGAGCUUAUCAGGUGGAUGAGAUUGAGAAACACAAGACAUACCUAGCAAUACAUAGCGAAGCAGAGAAAAGGGAAAAGUGGUGUAGAGUAUCUUACAAGGUGACUAUGAUUGACGGUGGAGAUGAGUUCGAGUGCGAGUGUGGGCAGUUUGCACAUAUGGGGCUUCUUUGCAGCCAUGUUCUGAAGGUCCUGGACUUUAUUCGAGCUAAGGAAAUUCCGGCGAAGCAUAUAGUGAAGAGGUGGACAAAGGAUGCCAGAGAUGUUCUGCCUGCUCAUCUAGCUCAGUACCAAAAAGACAGUAUGCAGAACAAUCCCUUCUCAUACAGGCACUUCACCAUGUAUAUGCAUGCAAUGGAAUUAGUUAGGCUCUGA
rnacentral:rRNA from 1 species